GGGCCCAUAUAAUCAGCAAGCUGCAGCCCAUCACGUUCACGUACGUCCGCUGUUCACAUCCAGUCGCCACGCCCCCACGUCUGCACGGAUCGAUCAAUCCAUCCGUCGUCUCCUGAGUCCCGACUCCCAAACAGCCAAAGCGCGGCGGCGGCGGCGAUCGAUCCGUUGCUACUUCAUAGAAAAGUUUAGGCAGCUGCCGGCUGGGCGGCCGGCACACCGCACACGCCUAUGCGGCUACGCGACUGCGCGCGGCAGCGGGAUCCGGCAAUCGACACUUCGAUACACUCUUGGGUAAUGAUGUUAUCUGUUACUACAUGGAGAAAAAAGAUGAAAAAGGUCACCAGUUUCAUGUCUAGGGGCAAGAGAAUUUAUUAAAGGUUAUUGAACCUUGAUUUUUGACGAUGUGUUUUAGAACUUGGAAACGAAGACAAACUUUUCAGGAUAUGCCCGACGACGACAUGGAACAGUUUAACCAAAAGCUAAUAAUCGCAACAGGCCUGCAGGCUAAAGGCGCUGGGUUGAAUGAGUCCCGAGUGUUAGAAAUGUUGUGCAUCAGCAUGUAUCUGUCUGAUCCUCUCGCGGAUCUUCUCUAAUCUCUACCCAAAGGGUACUCUGCUGUGAAUGAAAUCCUGCAGAUGAGAACUCAAAGUGCAAGCAUUCUUCGCAUCAAGUUUAAACUCAUGUGGGGUGCUGGCCGCCAAUCAGAUGCAGCCUGCAGCUCACUGGUUCUUCUGUGUAACGCCUGAUGCCCUUACAAUCUUGCAUGAACACUGUUUUCUCUGCCGUUUUGCACUGAACUAUUACCAUGCAUGUUUAGUGUAAGAUAAAGGCGUUUGUUCCUUGUUCAUAAUCCCUUUGCUCUGUUUCAGAUCUGCGUGUUGAUAAGUUAUGGAAAUUCCUGUCUAACGCAGAUACCGCUGUAAGGCAACUCGGUUAGCAGAUCUAAUUAAUCUCCAGGCUUAAUGUGCUCAAUGACUCCUGAACCUUAAAUGUUGCCCAAGCAGCCAAAGGAACCUGAUAUGCUUUUGAAAUGUAUAUAUAAACAUGCUAUUAAGAAUAAAAGGGUGCCAUUUUGGAUAUCUCAAUCAAAGGAAGUAAGUAGACCUUACAGACAGGAGAAUGCAAAGAGAUAAAAUCGAAGCUACUCCCUCCGCCCCAUAAUAUAUGAGCGUCUUAACACUACACUA